AGGCCUGUAGCACAAUUUGGCUAGUGCGCCGGACUCCAAAUCCGGAGGUUGGGGGUUCGAGUCCCUCCAGGCCUG
rnacentral:tRNA from 1 species